rnacentral:rRNA from 1 species
CGCCCUAGUUCUGACCGUAAACGAUGCCAACUAGCGAUCCGCCGAUGGAGAUUAUAAUUGCCUUGGUGGGGAGCUUCCCGGAAACGAAAGUCUUCCGGUUCCGGGGGAAGUAUGGUUGCAAAGCUGAAACUUAAAGGAAUUGACGGAAGGGCACCACCAGGAGUGGAGCCUGCGKSUUAAUUUGACUCAACACGGGAAAACUCACCCGGCCCGGACACUGUGAGGAUUGACAGAUUGAUAGCUUUUUCAUGAUUCAGUGGAUGGUGGUGCAUGGCCGUUCUUAGUUCGUGGAGUGAUUUGUCUGGUUUAUUCCGAUAACGAGCGAGACUCUAACCUACUAAAUAGUUGAUAUUUUUUUAUAAGAGUAUACAACUUCUUAGAGGGAUUUGCGGUGUUUAGCCGAAAGAAAUUGAGCAAUAACAGGUCUGUGAUGCCCUUAGAUGUCCGGGGCUGCACGCGCGCUACACUGGCAAAAUCAACGUGCUUGUCCUUCCCCGAAAGGGGCGGGUAAACCAUUGAAAAUUUGCCGUGAUUGGGAUCGGAAAUUGCAAUUAUUUUCCGUGAACGAGGAAUUCCAAGUAAGUGCGAGUCAUCAGCUCGCGUUGAUUACGU